CAUGCAAGUCGAACGGAGAUUACAGGCGGAAGUUUUCGGAUGGAAGCUUGUAAACUUAGUGGCGGACGGGUGAGCAACACGUGAGCAACCUGCCUAUCAGAGGGGGAUAACGAUUGGAAACGAUCGCUAAUACCGCAUGACAUAGCGGAAUCGCAUGGUUCUGUUAUCAAAGAUUUUAUCGCUGAUAGAUGGGCUCGCGUCCGAUUAGAUAGUUGGUGGGGUAACGGCCUACCAAGUCGACGAUCGGUAGCCGGACUGAGAGGUCGAACGGCCACAUUGGGACUGAGACACGGCCCAGACUCCUACGGGAGGCAGCAGUGGGGGAUAUUGCACAAUGGGGGAAACCCUGAUGCAGCGACGCCGCGUGAGGGAAGACGGUCCUCUGGAUUGUAAACCUCUGUCUUCGGGGACGAAACGAGACGGUACCCGAGGAGGAAGCCACGGCUAACUACGUGCCAGCAGCCGCGGUAAUACGUAGGUGGCAAGCGUUGUCCGGAAUUACUGGGUGUAAAGGGAGCGUAGGCGGGCAGGCAAGUCAGGCGUGAAAUAUAUCGGCUCAACCGGUAACGGCGCUUGAAACUGCAGGUCUUGAGUGAAGUAGAGGUUGGCGGAAUUCCUAGUGUAGCGGUGAAAUGCGUAGAUAUUAGGAGGAACACCAGUGGCGAAGGCGGCCAACUGGGCUUUUACUGACGCUGAGGCUCGAAAGUGUGGGGAGCAAACAGGAUUAGAUACCCUGGUAGCCCACACCGUAAACGAUGAUUACUAGGUGUGGGGGGACUGACCCCUUCCGUGCCGGAGUUAACACAAUAAGUAAUCCACCUGGGGAGUACGGCCGCA
rnacentral:rRNA from 1 species